CCCAAACAGGGACUGCCCCCCCAGCAGUGUUCACCCCAUGGAGUUGGGCCCAGCAGCCAUUGGAGAGCCCCGGUCCCUGGACCUUGAGAACUCUGCCAGAGCCCAGGAACCACCUUGAGAAGCCUCUGCCCUGUUGUGCUGCCUGCAACCCCAAGCAGAUCAAGCCCAGAAGCCAAGAUCCUGUCUCUGGUGAGAGGGAGCUCCCAAGAUGAGGGUACUUACAGACGGUGGACCUCUGACAGCCCCUCUGGGGACUUGGUCUCCCAGGGUAGAGCCAGAGAGUCAGACCUCCUGCACUUUGGCAGCCUGCAAGUUUCUUCCCUGAGUUGAGCUUGCCCCACCCACUCCAGGACCCCAGAGCCUUAUCAGAAAGUGCCCAGUACCGUCCCCAUUCCUUAGGACUAGGGAAUCCUGGUAGGGUACAUACUCCAGCCCAAGAAUCUAUUGGUCCAAGGAGCAAAGUUCACGUAGUCACUGACCUCUUGUCACCAGGGGAGGCUGGGUCAUGAUGGGCAUUAGGAGAGGCCUCUGUCCAGGGAUCCUGGGUGUCUCUGUUCCAUGUAUUUUACCCAGACCCAGCUCCGUAGAGGCCAGUGACUGCCGGGCCAGAAGCCAGCGCUGGGGGCCCUACAUUUCAGACAGAGUCCACUUCCCUGGAGCCUGGCCCCAGCAAAAACAAAAAACAAAAAA